UACGUAGGGUGCGAGCGUUUAAUCGGAAUUACUGGGCGUAAAGCGUGCGCAGGCGGUUCGCUAAGACCGAUGUGAAAUCCCCCGGGCUUAACCUGGGAACUGCAUUGGUGACUGGCGGGCUAGAGUAUGGCAGAGGGGGGGUAGAAUUCCACGUGUAGCAGUGAAAUGCGUAGAGAUGUGGAGGAAUACCGAUGGCGAAGGCAGCCCCCUGGGCCAAUACUGACGCUCAUGCACGAAAGCGUGGGGAGCAAACAGG
rnacentral:rRNA from 1 species